rnacentral:piRNA from 1 species
UCGCUGCGGCUCUGCGUGUUUGGUUUGUGU